UUAACACGUUUCCAGUUGCCUCUGAGA
rnacentral:piRNA from 1 species